UACGGGGGGGGCAAGCGUUGUUCGGAAUUACUGGGCGUAAAGGGCCAGUAGGCGGCCAAUUAAGUCGGAUGUGAAAUCCCCAGGCUUAACCUGGGAACUGCAUCCGAUACUGGAUGGCUUGAAUUCGGGAGAGGGAUGCAGAAUUCCAGGUGUAGCGGUGAAAUGCGUAGAUAUCUGGAGGAAUACCGGUGGCGAAGGCGGCAUCCUGGACCGACAUUGACGCUGAACGGCGAAAGCUAGGGGAGCAAACGGG
rnacentral:rRNA from 1 species